AUGUCUGAUGGAGCACGCCGCGUGAACGAUGAAGGUCUUCGGAUUGUAAAGUUCUGUUGUUAGGGACGAAUAAGUACCGUUCGAAUAGGGCGGUACCUUGACGGUACCUGACGAGAAAGCCACGGCUAACUACGUGCCAGCAGCCGCGGUAA
rnacentral:rRNA from 1 species